CGGUUUGGUCCGGCUGUUGCUUGCUGCUUGACAGAUGACUGUUCACUCUUUCUCGCACAUAAUCUCUGUUGCUUUCGCUCGCUCACAUGCUCCCAAGAAUAUUUAUCGCACUUCGUCGCUUAUCGUUUACACAAAUCGCGGUAAGCGAAACAGAAAAUGGUGCAGCAUAUAGUAUUAUGAUGCAAUUUCAAUAUCUGUUGUACCUUGUGUAAUUAAAUUAUCUUAUUUUAACAAGACAAAUGGUUAUUCUAAUAUUUGAAGCUACACUCAUACAUAGAACAGGUCGGAAGAGAUUGGAGCUUGAAGGCAAGAGGAGUCGAUAAAACUUUCAAUGAUUCGAAUUUAUUGGCAUGAUUGCAAUAUUUGGCCAUUCGAUUCCAAGCAACAAUUUGUUUAAAAUAAUUAGUGAAAUUAAAAUAAUUAGUCGUUCUCGUGAUUCACUCGUCAACUCGUACGACUUAACAACAUGCUCGUCUCGGAUUAAAGCCUCGAAAGGACCGUGCUCCCAUACGUAGGACUGAUUAUCCUGCUACGGGUAAUUAAUAAGUCACUAAUAGCCAAGACUUAGUGGUACAAGAAGAAUUUGAUCGACAAUUGUUGUUGCAUAAAAAAAGGAAAAGAAGUUUGAAUAAUGCUAUUUAGCUUGAUACAGCUGGUACAGCUCAUUGGGCAUAGAUAGCUGGUUCACAUUCCGUUCCUUUUCAAAAAUGAACUAGUUCCGUUCCGUUCCUUUAUUUUAACUUUGUUUUCCCAACACUAGUUCUGACGUAUAUCAAUUGCUUGUGUAGUGGUGAAGCAUCAGACACGUUUGAGUGCGAUCGUGGUCGCAUAAACAUUGGCAUUCAUUACAAGGCUCAUUGGUCGAGAUCGCAAGACGUGUUUUCUAAAGGUUCUUCGAAAAGUUUUGCAAGCCAUAGGGAAAGGAGUUGCAAAAAUGUGUCACUGUGGAACAAUUAUUGUCUGUUGCAUUCUUUUCGCUAUCGCCAUUGCCGUAGCCGUUUACUAUGGAGUUAUUCACGUCGAUGAGUCCGCUUCCGAUGUAAUAAAGGACACUGGAUCUAAGAUUAAGGAUUCCAUUAAAGAUGGCUUUAAAAAGCUAAGCGACAAUUGAGCGUGUUUGCAAAUGUUACAACACACAACACAGAAGAUGCUACCUGAAAAUGGAACACCACCUCACUACCAAAAACGUGCCAGCUAUUACGCAUACAGAUAUUUGCUCCCAUCUAUACAAACACAUAAUACUAUUCCGUAUAAAACGAAGCAUGUAACGCACCUACCUCGAAGGUAGGCCUACAAUCACUAACAGAGAUCUGGUAUUAAUCUCAGCAGAUUGCUAAUUUAUUAAAUCCGCGAUUCAAAGGAAGCUUUUUAUGAAGAAUUUUUGCGAUAUUAAUUGAAUAAAAUUUCUAUUUAACAUGUAAUCGUCUAAUUUUGCUGAGUUUCAUGUUUCUUGCAUAUCUCUGUUCAGAGAUCGCUUAACAACUAGCACAGCUGACGUACCCAGAUUUGGUAACAGAUAUCUGAUCCUCAGUAUGCUUUGCAUGCAUGGAAUAACCGUUGCUCCUCCACCAAUGGAUUCAUCCCAAAUUUCCGAAAUCCAACAUACUUCUUGGUUGUGUCUCAUUUGUACGACACUGGUGAUUCUGGUGAUGACAAUAAGUGUCGCACUUAACAUUUUUUUAUGGAUACGACUUUCAAAAGCAUUCCAGCAAUAGUGAUCAUCAUGAACCGGGGUAAAAUAAAGUAGAUAAACUCAACUCACGUUUGUUCCUUGUUAAGUGUACUCAGAUUGUUGGCAUCUCCCUGCAAUCGCAUCAACAGACCACCAAACGAAACGUACGCCGACAGCCGAUUGGAAGACUCGGUCUGUGAAUCGUCACCUUCAAUCCUGUAAACCUUGCCGAACAUUACGUACUCGAAACUGUCGGCACGCGAUCCUUCUAUUUCUGCAGCGUUGUACUCCAUGCUGGCUGUGAAAGAAGCGACGUUCAAAUACAAUGCUGUUCCAUCUUCGUGCAGAGUCGUUGCCAGAACGAGACGAAAUUUGUCUCCCAGUUCCAGAGGGUAGAGCCACGAGUUGAUGUCUAAUAUGAG